GUGCGGGGAUGAGGUGUGGGUAGCGGAGAAAUUCCAAUCGAACUUGGAGAUAGCUGGUUCUCUCCGAAAUAGCUUUAGGGCUAGCCUCGAGGUAAAGAGUCAUGGAGGUAGAGCACUGUUUGGACUAGGGGCCCUUCUCGGGUUACCGAAUUCAGAUAAACUCCGAAUGCCAUGUACUUAUACUCGGGAGUCAGACUGCGAGUGAUAAGAUCCGUAGUCGAAAGGGAAACAGCCCAGACCACCAGUUAAGGUCCCCAAAUAUAUGUUAAGUGGAAAAGGAUGUGGGGUUGCUUAGACAACCAGGAUGUUGGCUUAGAAGCAGCCACCAUUGAAAGAGUGCGUAAUAGCUCACUGGUCGAGUGACCCCGCGCCGAAAAUGUACCGGGGCUAAACAUAUUACCGAAACUGUGGAUGAACCUCUUUAGAGGUUCGUGGUAGGAGAGCGUUCUAAGGGCGGUGAAGUCAGACCGGAAGGACUGGUGGAGCGCUUAGAAGUGAGAAUGCCGGUAUGAGUAGCGAAAGAAGGGUGAGAAUCCCUUCCACCGAAUAUCUAAGGUUUCCUGAGGAAGGCUCGUCCGCUCAGGGUUAGUCGGGACCUAAGCCGAGGCCGAUAGGCGUAGGCGAUGGACAACAGGUAGAGAUUCCUGUACCAGUGCUAAUUGUUUAACCGAUGGGGUGACACAGAAGGAUAGGGAAUCGCACGAAUGGAAAUGUGCGUCCAAGCAGUGAGUGUG
rnacentral:rRNA from 1 species